rnacentral:lncRNA from 1 species
UUUUCUUUUGGUAAACGUUUCACGCCUACACGCCGGUCGAAUUUUCGGCCGGUCGUGCAGGCUCACUCGAUCGCUACAAACUCGCCCAGAACACAUGAGCACGAUCCUUGUACAAGCCACAUGACCUGUAGGGCCCACCCAUUGCCCAUUCUUCUUUCCUUACCCUCUCGCAGAGCACCAUAACCACCAAUUCCCCACCCCUCUUCCCGUCUCGCAUAUCCAGCCAGGCCACGUAGGUGAUGACUGCCGCCCAACCAUGCUCCCAUUUCCCUCACUCCGGCAAGAUGCGGCGACGCCCGACGCCCGACGUUGACUACUGCGAGCCGCCGGUGCGACCGCACAACCCUGCUUCCUCGUGCUGGAGUUAGUGCUGUCACUGUUGGCGAUGGGGUGGACAAGCUUUUGGUGCUGCAAUCAGCUGCGCCCUUGGAUGGCCGAGUUCCAUCCGUGCACGCCGGAGCUGCAACCGGUGUUUCUGGGAGCUGCAGGGUUGGUUCUUUUGCGAUGCAAUUUUUUGUUGGAAUCGAGUAAAAUUUUGUUGGAACAUGAGUAAAUUUUUGCUUCAAACGAUUACCGGAGUUUUCAGUUGCUCAUGUCGUUUUUGCUGGAACCGGAGUUUUUUUUUUGCUAGAACCAUUUUUUGGUUUUGCUUCAACUGACCACCUGCUUUUUGGGGAGCUACAAGGUUGGUUUGGUUGCUGAUGCGAUUUUUGCUGGAAUAAGGGAAAUUCUUUGCUUCAAACAUUUUACUGGAGUUCCUUGUUGCUCAUAUAGUUUUGCUGGAACAGGAGAUAUUUUUUGCUGGAACAAGUUUUUUGUUUUGCUUCAAGUGACCAAUGGAGUUUUUUUGGGGAGGGGGGGGGGCUGAGAUGUGUUUUUUUUUCUGCUGGAACAGGGUGGUGCAGGUUGACGACGGUGGCGAGCCAGAGAGGCGGUGAGGUCAAGCUAUGAUGGGGCGGCGACCUCGUGAGCACGACGGGUUGGAACAUGACGGACCACGAGGGCCAUUGGUUUUGCUGGGAGGACUAAGCGAGGACACGGCCUGAAAGAGGAAUAGAAGAAGCGUUGACCAGAUCUGAUGGUUAGGAAAAGAUAAUUCGACGGCUAGCAUACGACCGGCCGAACUUUGGGCCGGCGCAGAGUACUGCCCUUUUCUUUUGCGGAAAGAUAAGGAGUUUUCUUUAGCCAGUAUUAUAAACAGUUUUGCUGAGUCUCAUUCAACAUAGACUUCGUUAUGUCUCAGUCGAUGUUAUAUUUCAUUGAUCUUGCAUUGAGAUUCGUACACAAAUUUCUUUUCAAUUUUCCUUUUUUUUCAUAUACUAUAUUACUUGACUGAGACUUGGUUCGACUGAGGCCUAAAUACACCCUGUACACCCUAUUAUAAAUCCUAGCCUUUCUUCCCAUAAUCAAAUCUCUGCAUUUUUAACGAAUGGAGUCCUCUGGUUAGUUUAGCUGACGCCUUGUGCCUAAAUCAUCAUCAACAACACAGAAGCUAAUCAGACGUGACCUUGUAAGCGGCUAGUGGCUCCGUCGUCUCCACAUAGACGAAGUAUGGUUCCGCCGGGCGAUGUAAUUACCCACCAUGGUGAUCAGCGUCCCCUGCUCGGCUGCUCCGUGUGGCUGACGCUCAUAACGUCGGACGACGAGUCGCCUGUACUCGCGUAGUGCCCGUAGAUCGACGAAUCCCUGAGCGUCAGGACGCACUUGCCGUACAAAAAAUUGGGCCGUGGGAUGCUCCGCUGGCUGAAUUUGUAGCGGUGAUUGCACCGCCGUCCCUUGUCCAGAACCCACAGAUGAGUCGUCUCCAUGCCUAGAAGGUCACCGUCUCGGACGGCAACGCCCAGACUCCCGUGCACCUCCGUCAGGUGGUAGCGGGCAGCCUCGUCGGAGCACGCUGGCAGCUGGGGCAGCUACGUGGUGGAGGUGAUCCGCUCGUGCUCGAGGUCAAACGACACGACCCUCGGCGGAGCAUCACGCGUGACCCAGUACGUCGUGCCGUCGACGCUGACGAUGCCCGGACCGAGGCGGCACCCCGCCCUGCCGUUGAUGCCGGUGGGCACCUUCCGCCAUGACGCCUCGCCCAGCGUGAGCACGUGCACGGCUUCCGGCUCAAACACCCGGUCGAAAAUGCAGGGACGCGCACCACCUUGUACUGCCCGGACGUCGGGUGGUACGCGAAGGUGGAAGUCUCGUUCCAGUUCCGCCAGUGAGAGCUCUCGGAGAAGAGGCCGGCGUACGGCAUCGGGGGGAGUGCCAGCGCCUCGCCGGUGCCCGGGUUGACUAGGGUAAGAGCGCCACCGAGCCUCUCUUGGUUGUUGCAGAGGCAGAGGAGGCCAUUGCACGUGCCGACAAGCUGCACGCCCCUUUCCUUGUCGGUGCCGGCGCUCCACAGCACUCUGGAGCUCCCUGUGGAUGACAGGUCAUCGACGACAUAGGCGAUGGCGUCGUAGGGGUUCCAGAUGAGGGCCAUGGCACGGCUCUGCAUCUCGGUUGUGCGCUCGCGGAUGAGGUCGCCCCAGAGCCGGCAGACGAGGCGGAAUCGGCGGCGGGAGCUUGGGGGCAGCCGCAGCAUGAUCUCCACCAGGACGUCGGUGGAGAAGUCCCACCAUCUAGAGUCGCCAAUGGCCAUCGGCCGCGCGAGCUGUUUCUCCUCUUCUUCCGUUUCUCCUGUCUGCCCACCACCACGACGGGUUGACGUUGCCUAGUAGAUCCCCGUUGUCUUCAACAAAUGAGAAAAAGGAAAGUAAAAGUUGUUCUCCGCUGCACUUUAACCUGAUAGAGUCCAAUUUGGCCACCACAAGUUCUUCCUUUAUCGUAUAUGGAAUUUCCUGUGCUGUCAAAUAUAGUACUACGUAUAGAUGAACUUUGGAUGGAAUUGGAGACCAUGACGAUUACAGCAGACGUUUCAGGAAAACAAGCAUGCACAGAAGUUUGGCUCGGGCUACAGUUUUGUAAAAUCUGGAUUAAUACUUGGCUAUACUUGUCACUUGCUUUCCUGAAAAAAAAACUUGUCACUUGUUAUUUAUUAUUGGGAAUGAACAAACACAAAAUUCCGGUAUGGAAUGCAUCUUAUUAGUAAAAGGGAGCCAGAAUUUUGUUGGAAUUUUGCUAGUAGGCCUUUGGCCCAAAGCCCAACUAAAAUUUUGAAAUUCUCUUGGCUCAUUCAUGCAUACAUGUGAGUGGAGUGAGUGAGUCUAAAAUUUAGUCCCAUCAUGGAAUUUGAGUGAGAUUUGUACCUCUUUAUAAGGUGAGCUCUUCUACCACCUCUACGCGCUCGCCUCGCCUCGCAUCGCCACGCGCCGCGCUGCGCCACGGGUUGCGGGAUUGAGCCAAACCGUUGUCUAUAUUUUUGCUGCUCGCUCGGGAAAAUUAAUGAGUCAUUAAUUAAUAAGUACUCCCACGACCUACCCAUCACCAUUCCAGAUCAUUGCACCGCCAAGCAAGUCUUCUCCAUCUCUCCUUUCGGCGUGCACCGGAAGAAGGGACAGCAGGCCUCCGGAACCCCGCCUUUCGUGAUCCUGUACGGGAGAGGGGCGAUCGGGUUUUUGGGGAGCGCUCUCGCGCGACUGCUGGCAGCAACGACUUCGCGAACGAUGACUUCUUCCCCGACCUUGGCAACCUCAUCCUCGACAACAUGGGCGACAACGUCAACGCCGGCGGUGCUGCUCCCGCUGCACCUUAUGUGAUUCUAUCCUUCCUGUUCGAGAUCGUGGUAGAAUUCAUGUUUCUAAUAUGUGCCCUAGAUGUGAUCUGUUCAUCUACUAUGCUAGUUCACAUGAUUAGUUUAAUCUCUGUUAUUGCCGUCAUGAUUUAUCUUCUGUUUAUUCGGAUUAAAUCUUCUAGUAAUUUGCUCAUGUUUCCAACAAUCCAAAAACCUGGCUAUAGGCAAUUUACUCCGAGUGGUUUUGUUGCGCAUUUGAAGCCGCCUGCCUUCGGGCGCAAUAUAAGAGGUGGCGCACGAGAGCAGUCUACUGAUUUCAGAUCAUGUGCUGCUAUGACGCCACUAAGGGCAAGUCUGAGGGUCUGCUCUUAUGCGCAGAGUAAAAGAAUCGGCGGGAGUACGUCCAGACCGCACGGUCCAGACGUGUAUGUGCCAUCCAAUGCAGGCCUCGCAAAUCAGAGACAAAGUUAAUUAUAAGAUAAUUAUAAGAUACACAUACUCAAUCAUAAACAACUAUUAAAUAAAUACAACGUGGUCAAGUGCCGGGGGAGGGCAAAUGCCCCCUGUCCACCAAGUACUAUAGGUGGAGUGGUCUGUGAGUACACAUCAGUACAAAUUCUAAGCUCCCAGGAUUGUGAGGCUCCUGGUGAAUCGGUGAUGUGAAAGCUGCGUGGGUCAACGUUUGACAGGACUAGAUGACCCGUUGCGCCAAUGGCGCAAAGGCCGUGUGUAAGCUAAUUAUUGUGAGAGAUUGUAUUAAUAUAUUUGUUGCUUCAAAAGAAUAGCUCAUAUACUAUAUGCAAUAAGCAGAUAAGAUUAAAAAUGAUGCACUAAGUCAUGUAGGAAAGUACUAUUGACUUUCUGCUGAUGUAGUUGUUGUUGAUGAUCGUUUGUAAAAUAAACAGGAAUGUAAUUGCUUUUAAUUUGUUGCAUACACCGUGAUCGGAAGACGUUAUCACAGGGAAGCUCUGAUGAAAGCAUUGAAGCAAAAACAUGCAUAAAAGGAAGCUUAUUUCUUGAGUCAUAGUUUUCAGGAAACAAUAGCAGGAGAGGAGUUCUUCAUAUAUAUAUAUAUAUAUAUAUAUAUAUAUAUAUAUAUAUAUAUAUAUAUAUAUAUAUAUAGAAUAAGCGGUGAAAAUCCGCUUUUGACUACAGAGAGAACAAUAUAAUCUAAAGGUGAGGCCUUCACAUAUAUACAGUAAGCGAUGAUAACCCUCUUCUGAGUACAGAGAUAACAACAAAGUUUGAAGAUCGUAGACUAUAUCAUACACUACUUUUCAGCAUAGAGGCAGCAAGUGAAGACUAAAGCGUACACAUAUCUUGCUUGGAGUGCGCCAAAAUGCGAAAGAUCCUGGUCUGAUCGAUAUGAAACAAAAGGUGCCUGAUUUAGUAACCACAGAAGCAUGUUGUUCAGGACACAUUGACCAAAGCUCACCAGAAACUAUUUCUGGUUGCUGCGAGGCGCUGCUCAAACUUCAUAGCAAUGUAGCGUAGCCUCUGCGUCAGUCCUUCAAUGCUUGCCAGCGCUGUUUUCAUAACUCCCUUGGUGCUAUCCCGCCCUUUCAAAUGCCGAGCAGUCGUUGUGUUUUCUAUUUGGGCAGAAUAUGAGCUCAUAUACCUGACAGCGUAGUAGCAUGUUUUGCGCAGCUUCUUGAUUGUUUUAUUUGAUGCAACCAACCAUUUGACCAGGUGUGUCACUUGAUUUUCAAGCUUCUUGACAUGAGUGUAGUGGUAGUCCCUCGUUUCUUUGCCAUAUGCAUUUUCCAUGUAUCUAAUAGCUUCAGUAGCAGCACUGUCUUCAGCAUCUUCAUAGCUAUCUAAGAUUGCACCUGACAGAGAACUUGGAACAAGUGCAUCAUCGAGCAAUUCCAAAGAAGAAAUGAAAGUAACCGUCACACGAUUCUUUCCGCCUGGGCAUAUCUUGUGAUAGUAAGUUGCAGGGGGUAACUUCAGAGCUUUCAGCAUCAGGGCGAAUAUGUGGGCAUAAGGAAUUACUAUCAGAUAGUCAUUCUCCUGUGCAAGCAAAGUAAGGGUAAAAUUUCUGUCUGACAAAAUAAUAGUUGAAUCGACAAAUGAGGAUUUCAAUUGGGAAUGGUAGUUUGAUUGAGUGUGAGGCCCUGAGUUGUUUUAUUUAACUACAUAAGAAAAGUUACAGGUAGGCCUUCCAUUCUUGUAGGCGCCACUAAUUGUGAGGAUACAUGUGUAGAGUCACACAAUUGAAACAAUGAAAGAACAGAAAACUGACCAAAGACACCCUUUCCAGAAUGCAACACAUGAGGAAAAUAUUGUCCAGGAAACAAAUAUGUUUACUACAACAUCACCUCAUUCAAAACAAUCAGGAUGAGUUCUGGAAGACCAAUUUCCACGAUUAUGCAUGUAUCUUUUAUUCACUCUUCCAAGAAUACAGAAGCAAGGCAAAUAAGCCGGCGAUGGAGCAAAACUGAAAACCAAGUUUAUAAAGAACAAUGAAUGAACUACAACUGGUGAUUAGAAGAUUACAUUGGGCGCAGGCGUUGCUGUCCUUGAUGUUGUUGAUCCCGGGGAACCGUCGUCACAGACGAUGCCAAUGUCCAUGUCUUCCAUUGUGAGAUUUUUGAUCUGAGAUUGAAGAGGUAUGUUUUUGAUCUGCUAAUGAACAAGGAGAAUUGAGUAAAAAGGGCAAAUAGUUAUAUGUAUAUUAUGCUAGCAAAUGUUCAUUGAUUUGGCCUUGCAAGGUUAAAGCAAAUGAAUGUAUGUUUAUAGCGAAGAUACUGAAAAGAAGAAUCACAGUGGAUAAAAGCAAAGGCGUAGCAUAGAUAAAUAACAUUGUCUUAACACGUCAACACAGACUUCAUACUUAUACAUGACCAGAGUCAAGUUCAGAAAGGAUAAAGAUUUCUAGGCCAAAGCUAUGAGUAGAUAGCUUCGCAUCUUAUUUAAGCAACCUAGGAGACUAAACACAGCAGACACAGAGACGCGUCCUAGCGGUGAAGCCAUACAUACACAGCUUCACAUGGCAAAGAGACAGUUUAGCAGGCUCAAUAUGACACUCAUGGGGAUCGGACACAGUGAGC